GCGACAACUCUAUAUAUAAAGUAACAAUGUCUUACUACAUUUGAUUGGCUGUGUAACUACGCCAUAAUAGAACAAAACUACUGUUGAUCGGUUAAUAACGUCAUAAUAUAAAAUUCAUUGUUGUUGACUGGCUCCGACGUAAUAGAAAUUAACUAUAAUUGAUUGUCUCAGUACCAACACCAUAGUAUAUCAUGACUACUAUCGACUUGCUGUCGAAGCAUAUAUCAUCACUAUUUUUUGAUUGGCUGAGAAAUAAUCGUUUCUGAUUCCAUAGCUCUCUAAGCACAAGAGAAUGAAUACAGUUGAAAUAUUACUCUAACUCCAAAUAACUUAUCUCUUUUUAAUUUCGGUAUUGGUCUGCAGCAAUGCUGGGGUACCACCUCGAAAGGCUUUAAUCAAAUAAACCCACCUCGCCUGGCACAUAUUCCAUCGGUCUCUUUUGCCGAACCAUUAAGUUUCGGGAGCGUAUUCUGACAUGACAACCAAAAUCAUUGAAUAAUAUAUCAGAAAUGCCGUUGUCGUGUUGCUACGAAGUAAAA